ACCUGGGUGGCUCAGUGGGUUAAGUAUCUGACUUCAGCUCAGGUCAUGAUCUGUAGUUUGUGGGUUCAAGCCCCGCCCUGGACU
rnacentral:tRNA from 1 species